rnacentral:rRNA from 1 species
CAAUAGCGUAUAUUAAAGUUGUUGCAGUUAAAAAGCUCGUAGUUGGAUUUCUGGCAGGAGCGGCCGGUCACACACUCUGUGUGUGAACUUGCGCUGUCUCUGGCCAUCCUUGGGGAGAUCCUGUUUGGCAUUAAGUUGUCGGGCAGGGGAUACCCAUCGUUUACUGUGAAAAAAUUAGAGUGUUUAAAGCAGGCUUAUGCCGUUGAAUAUAUUAGCAUGGAAUAAUAAGAUAGGACUUCGGAACUAUUUUGUUGGUUUGCGUUACGAAGUAAUGAUUAAUAGGGACAGUUGGGGGUAUUCGUAUUUCGUUGUCAGAGGUGAAAUUCUUGGAUUUCCGAAAGACGAACUACUGCGAAAGCAUUUACCAAGGAUGUUUUCAUUAA